rnacentral:rRNA from 1 species
GGGAAAAUUAAUCCAUCAGCAGGUAAUACCGGGACUUUCACGGAAGGGACUUAUUUAUUAGAGAAAAGGCCGACCGCGUUUGCAGCCCAGGGUGAAAGUGUUAUUUCAUAAUACGUGGUUUAGGUGGCGAGAUUUUUGAUGGCGGGGUAUGAGUUUGGUGGAGAGGGGGGUCGAUGUGGUUCGAGGAGGAGGUGGUGUGGGUUCGAGGGGGGUGGGAACGGUUCAUUUCAGGAGGAGGGGGGCAAUGACACUUUAUCGGGGGAGGGCAUAAAAAAUGCGGAUUAUGGGGAAUGAAGGUAAUUAUGCCUUAAGAGACAUGGAGGGGGUUGGGCAGAGCGGUUUUCGCUCGUAGGAUUUAGUGUUCAUUAGAGGUGUGUGGUUGGGGGUCCGCGUCGCUAGGGGGAUGUGGGCCCCUUGGGGGAAGGUUUUGGUUCAUGGGGGGUGAGCGAGAGAAUUGAGAAAUAGGUGUUAAGAGCCUAGCUUGAUACUUACCAGGAUUCGGUGGAUUUGGCUUUUUGGUUGGCUAAGGACGGAGAAUGUUUAAAGGACGUGGGGGCUUUGUUUUUAUUUCCGAGGGAAAUUUGGAUUUUGAAAAAGACUACGGAAACUUUCCAGGAGUUUUCUUAAAAAAACAAAUUGGGGCCCAAACCAUAAAACCUCGAGCCAACCUUAACAACCACAGGAUUGAAAUUUUUUUAAGCUUCCCGCACUUAAAAAUAAAUUUGGUCCGGGGGGUUGCCCAGCUAAAUUAGGUUGGGAGGGCCCCCCGGGGGGCUGGGUAAUUGCCACAGGAAAUCACGGCCACUGGGGUGCAAGGGCCUUUGGCUCUGGGGGGGGAGGCUUCAUGGGGCCUCGGUGUCGAAAAAACCCCUUUAA